rnacentral:rRNA from 1 species
GAUCAUGGCUCAGGACGAACGCUGGCGGCGUGCUUAACACAUGCAAGUCGAACGAGAAGAGAUGAGAAGCUUGCUUCUUAUCAAUUCGAGUGGCAAACGGGUGAGUAACGCGUAAGCAACCUGCCCUUCAGAUGGGGACAACAGCUGGAAACGGCUGCUAAUACCGAAUACGUUCUUUUUGUCGCAUGGCAGAGGGAAGAAGGGGAGGCUCUUCGGAGCUUUCG